rnacentral:rRNA from 1 species
CCAGACUCCUACGGGAGGCAGCAGUGGGGAAUAUUGCACAAUGGGGGAAACCCUGAUGCAGCGACGCCGCGUGAAGGACGAAGUAUUUCGGUACGUAAACUUCUAUCAGCAGGGAAGAAAAUGACGGUACCUGACCAAGAAGCCCCGGCUAACUACGUGCCAGCAGCCGCGGUAAUACGUAGGGGGCAAGCGUUAUCCGGAUUUACUGGGUGUAAAGGGAGCGUAGACGGCCGUGCAAGUCUGAUGUGAAAACCCGGGGCUCAACCCCGGGACUGCAUUGGAAACUGCAUGGCUGGAGUGUCGGAGAGGCAAGUGGAAUUCCUAGUGUAGCGGUGAAAUGCGUAGAUAUUAGGAGGAACACCAGUGGCGAAGGCGGCUUGCUGGACGACGACUGACGUUGAGGCUCGAAAGCGUGGGGAGCAAACAGGAUUAGAUACCCUCGUAG